CUUACGCUUGGAUUUUGCUGACAUUUCCUCCCAAUAAGAAUGGAGGGCAAAUUUAGAGAAAAAGGACACUCUGCAACUGCUUUGCAACUUCCUCCCUCUCUCUUUCAGUAUUGCAAUUCUCACGUACGCAUCGAUAGGUCAUAAAACACUCCAAACACCACCAUCUUUUCUUACAAGUGAAGCAAAAGCAUCUUCUUUAACCAACUCCUCCCCAUCACUUUCUUCUCGGUUCUUUCUUCUCCCUUCCAUAACCCGAUCUCGGAGAAGGAAGAGAUAAGAGAGCCCUAUGGAGAAUGUGGUCAGAAAUCGCAUGCCCUAAUAUUAUUGUCAAAUUCUAAUAAUUCCAAGGAAAGCAUUAUACUGAGAUUCAUAUUGCCUGCACAAUACCUCAAGUAAUUUCUACAAUGGAAAUUAUUACACCGAAGGAGCUUACAAGAAUCAAGCGUGCAAGAGUGAGGAAGGAAUUGACAAUGGUUCUACGUUUGUGCACCAAAGGAUAGGGAAAGGAAAGAGAAUCGACUCGGUGACCGACUGACGGUUCUUGAAGAAGAAACUGAAACUAUGAAGCACGAAAUUUUGGAUAUUGCAGAAGAAAGAAACAAGUUGAUGAAGGAGAAAUGUCAGCAGGUUCAGAUUGAGUCUAUCGAUGGAAACACAAGUAUCUACCCUUCACAGAACUCAUAUGCUGAAGUGUUUGGCUGACUGAUUUCGAUGCAUUUGACGGAUAAACAGGAGGAAAGAAUAGGAGCUAGUUUGUCAGAUAUUUUACGCCAAGAUAUACAUCCAUCUCUUGUCAACAGAAAUCUUAGAUGCGUCUAUAAACUAGAUGGAUGAUUCCAUCAAUAUGUAAUCCCAGAAGGUAUUUGUAACCACCGUGUUCGCAUGUCCUUUCUAUUAUUAUAGACAACCAUUCUGUUC